rnacentral:rRNA from 1 species
CAGGGAAUCUUGCGCAAUGGGCGAAAGCCUGACGCAGCAACGCCGCGUGGGGGAUGAAGGCCUUCGGGUUGUAAACCCCUUUCAGGAGGGAAGAAAUUGACGGUACCUCCAGAAGAAGCACCGGCCAACUACGUGCCAGCAGCCGCGGUAAUACGUAGGGUGCAAGCGUUAUCCGGAAUCACUGGGCGUAAAGGGCACGUAGGCGGCCUAAUAAGUCCGAUGUUAAAGCGUGGGGCUCAACCCCAUCACGGCGUUGGAUACUGUUAGGCUUGACGACUGGAGAGGUGAGUAGAAUUACCAGUGUAGCGGUGGAAUGCGUAGAUACUGGUAGGAAUACCCAUUGCGAAGGCAGCUCACUGGACAGACCGUGACGCUGAGGUGCGAAAGUGUGGGGAGCAAACCGGAUUAGAUACCCGUGUAGUCC